CAGAUAUUUUACCCAAAAGCUUUAAAAUUCUGGUAGUUAAUUUUUAUACAUCUAUCGUUCAGUAUGUAAAGAGAUCAACAAUGAAGCGGCCCAGACUCUUCUGACCAUCGGGAACUCAGCUCAGAUGAUCCAGACAUCAGAAAUGCCCUGUACAAGUAAGAAUAACUUCAUAGUUCAACCCUCUUAUUUCCUUCAGUCCAAAUUAACUUUUUUCCUUUAAAUCAAAUCAAGAUGAUUGAUUGAUCAAAAUCUUUUUCAGGUGGAAAUGAGAUUGUUGUACAUGAAGAGGUCGUCCAUGAGGAAGUUAUCACAGAAACAGCCGUCAUGUCUGGUUCUUCGGUAAGCUGCGAUUCAGAGACAAAAGGUGACGUUGAAUUUUCGAGCUGUGAAACUCAUAUUCCAGAACCUUCUGCUGAAGAAACCUCCACCCCGAAAGAAGAACCAAUCAAAUCACAGACAACCGAUGCUCAUCCUGCUCCCAUUCAACAUGAGACACAGUUUCCACCAAGCAAAAGAGGUCGAUCCUCCAAACCCAAACCUAAUAUUGGUCAAGGUUUGAGAACCAGACGAGCUCCACAGCAACAAAUCUCUCCAGAACUUGUCACAGGUUCUUUGGGGACCUCUAAGGGUCCGUCUUCCACAGAACAGGAUAAAAAUGCAAUGCAAGAAGGCGGUGUUCCUGUGGAUCACCUGCCAGACUCCUCUACCAUCGGCCCUGAGGUACUACAGCCGGAUAUAUCAUCUGAAAGAAGAGAAGACAGUCCCAAAGUCAUUCCUGAAAGAGUGACUAAAGAAGAUAAUGGAUCGGUCUUAUCUUUGAAGAGAAAGAAUGAUGAUAUAAUCACAGAGGAAAAUAUAAAAGAACAAGAAGGGGCGAGAUCAGAACCACAGCUGACUAAAAGUGUGAACGAAUCUCAGAGCACAUCAGUUGAGCCCUCUAAACCUGUCAGGAGGUACCGCGAACUCAAACCUCAACCAAACCUGAUUCAGACAUCCAGACGCGCACAGACACAAAGCGGCACGACAUCAACCACAGCAUUAUUAAAUGAGAAGCCAUCUGCUGCUCAGCCUUCCAUGACCACUUUCAGUAAAAGUCCUGAAGAGGGUGCUGUAGUUACCACAGAACUUGAUGUAUCCAAAAGUGCAGCUCAACAAGGAGCAUCUAGCAUUGAAUCAGCAGAGACAGUCAAAGAUGUCACCCUGCCAGUUGUUUCUGAAAACGAGUCCAGACAGAAAACUGUGGUCAUGCUGGAUGAGAACAAUAGAACUAAUCCUGAGGAAGUUUGUGAAGGCAGCACUGUGGAACAUCCUGGAUGUGAAUCAGAAGACACAUCUGCUGAGCCCACGCCUGAGGAACCUGUGUUUAUACCGUCUCUCAUAGAAAUCCCACCCACUUUAGAUGAGGGGGUGGGGUUUCGGACAGAGCUCCUCCCACCUGUGGCAGCAUCUGAGUCGCAUUCUCAUGGUCAAAGUGCUAGUGAGAGCAGGGGGGUAUCUCACCUUCUGAUCACAGACGCUUUAAUUUCUGUGUCCGAGGAUGAGGAAAAGAAAAGUGAACAGGGAGACGUGGGCAAAUCUAGGACAGGAGAAUUGAAACGCAAGACACCAGCCUCCACAUCUCAGGGGAAUACCAAAGAUGAGAGUCAUCAUGUGGAAGGAUUGGAAAGCCUUGUGGUAGAGGGGACUGAUGAUGAGAAGGAACAUAUGGAAAAGAAAAGAAAAAUACCUGAGAGUACCAGGAGAGCAAAGUUGCAAGUUAAACCCAUCCCUGUUUCACGGAGAAACGCUCGAGGUGGUGAUGCUAAAGAGGACUCAGCAGCUCUCUCUUUUAAACAGACUACCUCAUUACCCGUUUCAACACGAGAGACGAGAUCAGUGCCAGAGCAAACUGUACCCGCUGUCAUUUCAUCAACGGAUGACUCCAUAUCAACCACCAUCUCUGACAGAGAAGCAACUACAGACCUUUCUGCGACUAGCGAUAAUACUCGUUCACCUGUCUCUGAAGAUUCUGUCCAGGAGGGUUCCUCCCAAGGCAUCAUGGGAAAAGUGGACCUCUCAGGCAAAAAGACAGUUGAGUUGGCUAGUAGAUCAGACUUGCAAAGUGUCAGUCAAAUCACGCCUAUUGCCACAAGUGGGCCGCUUACAAGACCUGGCAGAAGACUCAAAGGGUUCCUGUCCUUCAUUUCAUCGAAGAAUACACAAGGACCCCCAGCAGCUCAUCGAGGGGCCAAACCAGGCCCCCAAAAACCAGCAGUCAACACCGCACGUCCUGAGAGAAAGCGGAUAGCAGCCGGACCUGUUACCACUGCAACCAACCCUGGAGUAAAGCGACCCUCACAGACCCCUGCUUUCACCACUGCAUCUGUCAUUGAGAACUCAGAUGAAGAACCCACAAGUGUCUCCAAGUACUUCUUCAGUGACAUCUUUACUGAAGUUGAUGAAUUAGAAGACAUGGAUUAAGGCCAAAGGUUGGAAUAACAAACCAGUCACAACUAACUAAAUAGUCAGAAAUAUAGUUUGACAAGUCGGGUGUAUAGACGUGUGAAUAUUUGAAGUUUUUCCCAGGACACUUUUACCAAGAGGAACCACAACUGAAGAGAUGCAGCGAAAACGUACCUCAGUAACAGCUGACAUGAUGUAUUUUAUGUUAUUAUAAUUUUAUUUAAGGAUAAAUAAGUAUUAAUUUAGUUAUGUUUUUGAUACUGUUGCACUCUUUUGUUACGUAAAGUUGUAUUAUAAUUCAUUUUUUUGUUGGUCUCGACCUGCAUUUUAUUUCCAGUUAUGAAUAAGAAACACGUUCAUUUCUCUCAGUCAUUUCUCUUGCAUCAAUUGCUAAUGUUUUUUUUUUUAAUCAGAGAAUGACAUUUUUUGAAAGUGACUUUUCUUUCUUUAUAAUUUAUUUAUUUUUUUAAGAGCAGCUUUGAAACAAACCUCAAUUUUAAAUAAGC
ensembl:lncRNA